AGUGAACGCUGGCGGCGUGCCUAAUACAUGCAAGUCGAACGCGAAAGUCCUUCGGGAUGAGUAAAGUGGCGCACGGGUGAGUAAUGCAUAAGAACAUGCCCUUAAAUGGGGAAUAACGUUUGGAAACGAACGCUAAUACCGCAUAAUCUCGAGAGAGUAAAGGUGGCGCCGCAAGGGCUACCGUUUAAGGAUUGGCUUAUGUCCCAUUAGCUAGUUGGCGGGGUAAUGGCCCACCAAGGCAACGAUGGGUAUGUGGUCUGAGAGGAUGAUCACACACUGGAACUGAGACACGGUCCAGACUCCUACGGGAGGCAGCAGUAGGGAAUAUUGCACAAUGGGGGAAACCCUGAUGCAGCAACGCCGCGUGAGUGAAGAAGGCCCUUGGGUUGUAAAGCUCUUUAGCGAGGGAAGAAGGUAGAUGCGGUGAAUAAUCGCGUUUGCUGACGGUACCUCGAGAAUAAGCACCGGCUAAUUUCGUGCCAGCCGCCGCUGUAA
rnacentral:rRNA from 1 species